GACGAACGCUGGCGGCGUGCCUAAUACAUGCAAGUUGAGCGCUGAAGGUUGGUACUUGUACCAACUGGAUGAGCAGCGAACGGGUGAGUAACGCGUGGGGAAUCUGCCUUUGAGCGGGGGACAACAUUUGGAAACGAAUGCUAAUACCGCAUAAAAACUUUAAACACAAGUUUUAAGUUUGAAAGAUGCAAUUGCAUCACUCAAAGAUGAUCCCGCGUUGUAUUAGCUAGUUGGUGAGGUAAAGGCUCACCAAGGCGAUGAUACAUAGCCGACCUGAGAGGGUGAUCGGCCACAUUGGGACUGAGACACGGCCCAAACUCCUACGGGAGGCAGCAGUAGGGAAUCUUCGGCAAUGGACGGAAGUCUGACCGAGCAACGCCGCGUGAGUGCAGAAGGUUUUCGGAUCGUAAAACUCUGUUGGUAGAGAAGAACGUUGGUGAGAGUGGAAAGCUCAUCAAGUGACGGUAACUACCCAGAAAGGGACGGCUAACUACGUG
rnacentral:rRNA from 1 species